rnacentral:rRNA from 1 species
CCUACGGGAGGCAGCAGUGAGGAAUAUUGGUCAAUGGGCGCAAGCCUGAACCAGCCAAGUCGCGUGAGGGAUGACGGUCCUAUGGAUUGUAAACCUCUUUUGUCGGGGAGCAAGGCCCGCCACGUGUGGCGGGAAGGAGAGUACCCGAAGAAAAAGCAUCGGCUAACUCCGUGCCAGCAGCCGCGGUAAUACGGAGGAUGCGAGCGUUAUCCGGAUUUAUUGGGUUUAAAGGGCGUGUAGCCGGGCUGACAAGUCAGAUGUGAAAUCCGGGGGCUAAACCCCCGAACUGCAUUUGAAACUGGGAGGCUUGAGUAUGUUUGAGGCAGGCGGAAUGCGUGGUGUAGCGGUGAAAUGCUUAGAUAUCACGCAGAACCCCGAUUGCGAAGGCAGCCUGCCAAGCCAUGACUGACGCUGAUGCACGAAAGCGUGGGGAUCAAACAGGAUUAGAUACCCUAGUAGUC